GAUGAAGAACGUAGCGAAAUGCGAAAAGUAAUGUGAAUUGCAGAAUUCAGUGAACCAUCGAAUCUUUGAACGCACAUUGCGCCCGCUGGAACUCCGGCGGGCACGCCUGUCCGAGCCUCAUUUCAACCCUCAGGCCCCCCUUCGCGGGCGGGCCUGGUGUUGGGGCCCGGCCGCUACCCUGCGGCCGUCCCCUAAAUUCAGUGGCGGCCUCGCCGUGAUCCCUUGCGUAGUAAUGCACCUCGCACCGGAGAGCGCCGUGGCCACGCCGUAAAACCCCCAAUUUUCAAUGGUUGACCUCGGAUCAGGUGGGAAUACCCGCUGAACUUAAGCAUAUCAAUAAGCGGAGGA
rnacentral:misc_RNA from 1 species